UCAAGAAACAUUUUUUUUUGUCACUAACAGGAUGACAUCCCUGAGUUGCAAGAGUUUUUCUUAGUCAAUAUAACAUCAGCUGUCCUCAUAACCACCUUCACAACUGUCCCUGAAUUAAAGAUUUACUAUACAGUACAUUGAAAGAUACUGAAGGCCUUGUAGCAGAGAUCAGCAUUAAUGCUAAUGAUGGUAUCCAAGGGAUCAUUGGCUGGCAAAACACAGAGUCUAUGUGAUAAAUGAGACAAUUGGUGAGUUAACUCUUG
rnacentral:lncRNA from 1 species